CCCCUUCGGGGGCAGAGUGACAGGUGGUGCAUGGUUGUCGUCAGCUCGUGUCGUGAGAUGUUGGGUUAAGUCCCGCAACGAGCGCAACCCUUGAUCUUAGUUGCCAGCAUUCAGUUGGGCACUCUAAGGUGACUGCCGGUGACAAACCGGAGGAAGGUGGGGAUGACGUCAAAUCAUCAUGCCCCUUAUGACCUGGGCUACACACGUGCUACAAUGGGCAGAACAAAGGGCAGCGAAGCCGCGAGGCUAAGCCAAUCCCACAAAUCUGUUCUCAGUUCGGAUCGCAGUCUGCAACUCGACUGCGUGAAGCUGGAAUCGCUAGUAAUCGCGGAUCAGCAUGCCGCGGUGAAUACGUUCCCGGGCCUUGUACACACCGCCCGUCACACCACGAGAGUUUGUAACACCCGAAGUCGGUGANGUAACCUUUUGGANACA
rnacentral:rRNA from 1 species